GCCCGACUGGCUCAGUCGGUAGAGCAUGGGACUCUCGAUCUGAGGGUCGUGAGUUCAAGCCCCAGAUUGGGCA
rnacentral:tRNA from 1 species